rnacentral:rRNA from 1 species
GAUGAACGCUGGCGGCGUGCCUAAUACAUGCAAGUCGAGCGAACGGACGAGAAGCUUGCUUCUCUGAUGUUAGCGGCGGACGGGUGAGUAACACGUGGAUAACCUACCUAUAAGACUGGGAUAACUUCGGGAAACCGUAGCUAAUACCGGAUGAUAUUUUGAACCGCAUGGUUCAAAAGUGAAAGACGGUCUUGCUGUCACUUAUAGAUGGAUCCGCGCUGCAUUAGCUAGUUGGUAAGGUAACGGCUUACCAAGGCAACGAUGCAUAGCCGACCUGAGAGGGUGAUCGGCCACACUGGAACUGAGACACGGUCCAGACUCCUACGGGAGGCAGCAGCAGGGAAUCUUCCGCAAUGGGCGAAAGCCUGACGGAGCAACGCCGCGUGAGUGAUGAAGGUCUUCGGAUCGUAAAACUCUGUUAUUAGGGAAGAACAUAUGUGUAAGUAACUGUGCACAUCUUGACGGUACCUAAUCAGAAAGCCACGGCUAACUACGUG